rnacentral:rRNA from 1 species
UACGUAGGCAGCAAGCGUUGUUCGGAGUUACUGGGCGUAAAGGGUGCGUAGGUGGCUCUAUAAGUAUGGUGUGAAAUCUCCCGGCUUAACUGGGAGGGUGCGCCGUAGACUGUGGGGCUAGAGUGUGGGAGAGGAAAGUGGAAUUCCUGGUGUAGCGGUGAAAUGCGUAGAUAUCAGGAGGAACACCGGUGGUGUAAACGGC